GGGUAGCACAGGCCGCUGCCGUCCUGAGGGGAGGGAAAAAGCGGCAGCGUUAGAUACAGAGCGGGUCCCACCGGGAGAGCCCAUAAAACCUGAGUGCAGUGCAGCUUUAGGUUCAACUCCGACAACUUACGGCGCAACGGAAGGAAGGAACGCUGUGGUUUAUGGAAGUAGCAUUUUGUCUCCAUUACAAUACUGACACUACAAAAUGCAGAUUAUCCAUCUCAGUAACUUUAUAACCUUAUGGCAAACGCAGCGUUAAUACAAAAUGUAGAAUUAAGCACAUAAGCGUAGGCUUGCACGAUUGGAGCCUAAAAUCCAGCUGAUUAAAUACACAAAGAUCCCAUCGCAUUCCAUUAAAAUACAAAAAAUAGGUACGGACUGCAUAUUAACACAUGAAGCCCUUCUACCAAUGAUUCUUUUUUACUCCGCGCUUAAGGAAAACCCCUCUGCAGCGCUUUGAACACCUCCGAGCUGCUACUGGAAGCAGUUUGUGUGCCAUUGCUCACAAAGUAUGCGAGGAGAAUCUCAACGCCCCGCCCCAAACCCGACUGUGGAAGAACGCCUCCAGCUGACAGCGGGCGCUGCGGUGGGCUCCUCGGGUCAGCACCCACUUCUGCUGCCCGGCUUCCCCCGGCAGCACAGCCCAACACACAGCACAGCCCAGGAAGCUGAGGGGAUUGUUUGGAGGUUGCUUUUUUUCUGUUGGUUGGGUUUUGAUGCGUUCAAUCUGGCAACUGAGCAUCCAAAAGAGCAAGGGAUACAUAGCUCACACAUCCUGUCUUUGAAAACCCAGUAUGGUUUCCUCCUGCUCCCCAACACCUUUUUGGACCAAGGAAUCAGGAAAGCUGCAACCUCUCCCUGUGGUUAUCGCUGUCAGCUCAGAAGGAAAAGAUCUGGGUUCUGAUUUCUGCUCCCAGGACCUUCUGUGAAAUGUAUCUGGUAGCUGUUGCAGGCACCCCAAUUUUGCUCCUGUUAUUUCAGAGGAUGAAACCCCUGCUGUACGCUGCGAUGUCUUCCUUUGGGUGAUUAUUCAAGAUGGUAACCUGCAGAUGACUGAAAGAUGAAAUGUGCAGCGUAAUGCUGAAAUAAGGAUAUUGCUGAGCAUCUCUCAGCACAGCACCACUUAACCGUCAGUUUAAAAGAAUUUUUGAAGAAGCCAUUUAUUACUUCUGAUUCCCAGCAGCGCUACAGUUGGCCUUCAGGUAAGGAAAGUUCUAAGACAGCAGUUUGCAUCCAAAUACUUCAGCUACAGGACAGUUUCAUUUUACGCCAGCGCCAAAGCUCUUAGUGCUUGGUCACAAGACUCAAAGUGAUUUCUCCCAUCAUGACCAGUUCUACAAAGUUUUGAUGCUAAACAGAUCUACAGACAUUCAUAGCUACACCCUACUACUCUGAAAUAUUGAGAUCCGACUACCUUGUUCUAAACUGCUUUUAAUCAUGCCAUAUUCCUUUCAUCAUCAGUUUCCAUCACUGUUUUUGAUACGAUCACACUACUGAGUAAUGUAUCUAUGGACACAGACUUGUUGAAAAGGAGGCAUGACUCACAAUGUUCAUACAAUAUCGUUGACAGCUGGUUCAACCUCUGUAUUACCCAAUUAUAGUAGUGUUCUUUUUUUAGACAGUCUCCAAAAGGAGGGCUUACUGGCCACAAUGUAAAAAUCAAAUAAAAGGAAAGCGAUGCUAUCAAGAUGACAUCACAUAAAAUACUUAAUUCCUGAUUCCACUUGUAUUUCUGCAAACAAAUGAAGUGUAUUUAUUUGUCCAUUUAUUAAUUCAGUUUGCAAAGAUCAGUUUGGAUUCUUCUAAUUUCUUGGCUGCUGUUCAGCUCACUUUUAGCAGCACAGCUUUCUUUUACGUCAGGCUAAGAGGUUACAUCCAUUUCUUUCAGAUACAGACCAAGAAAAUAUGGCUUGUAAAUUGUUACCUCAGCAUUAAAAUGAUCACACUGCAGAUUCUGAGUUUAGUUGGUAAAAUAACUGGAAAUAAUCCACUGCAGAAAUAGGUCAUCUUGAGUGAACAUUUUCAUCAGAACCACAUGAAAUUGUGUUCCAGUAGGUACCCUGCCUGGAAUUUCCAAGCAGAGUUUUAAGGGUUUGGGAUCACAGAACCAGCAAACAGCCCAGAGCUGCUAAACCAGCAGGACUUCUUUUGUUCUGAGGGAAGAUUCUUCAGGAUUUCUUUAGCAGAAAGCAGAAUUUCCAAGCGCUCUCUCACCUCACAAGUUUACAGAAUAUGUGAUAAAAGUCAAAUUUCCCCCUACGGGAGGGUAUUGUGCUCUAUAGUUAUCCUGGAUUUUCUUUUGCCCAUCCACUUUGUUUUCAAAACGUUGCUGAAGGUUGCAUCUUUUUUUUUUUUUUUUUAAUGCUGAUGAUAUUUGACGUAUGGCAAAUACAGCUAAGGAAGCUCUUUAAUAUCUAAAUAUCUACCGAAACUCAGGAGUAUGUAAAGCUCGCAUCAAUGCAUUUGACCAAUAAAUAGGAGAAAAACAGUAAUAAAAUAUCACAUCAUCAGAG